rnacentral:lncRNA from 1 species
AAUAUAAUGUGGAGUGUACAUGAUGGUAUGCAUUCUGAGAGUUAAGUUUUAACUUAGAAGUGUGCCACUUCCAAAACUGACAUUUAUGAUUGCAAGAUUUACUCUUCAGAAUUUGCAAUAAUUCAUCACAAACAUAAGUAUAAUCUGUAAGUAAAUGAAUUGCUCGUAUGUCCUGCACUUGAAUAAAGUCUUUGCUCUUGACAUGGCAUUGACCAAUAACUCUAUCCUCUAGGAAAAUGGAAACAUCAUUCACUAGAAACAGUUGAAGUUGCCAGAACCAGUGGCUGACAGAGGGAUAAGACACAAGGGUCAAUUUUGUCUGCUAAAAUUUAAAAUUUUUUUCUACAUUCUUCUUAAGGAACCACAUGAACGAGUAAGAAGACUCCUACUUUGGGAUCAUUGUUUCAACCAGGGCAAAAAUACAGAUUACUGAAACAUUCAGGUAAGAGAAAGAAAGGUAAAACUUGAAAGUGAAUACCCAAGGAAGUCAUCCAGAAGAAGAGAACCUAGACCGGCCUAUGUCAUCUCUUAUCUAC